rnacentral:lncRNA from 10 species
GGCGGGGUGGCAUGCACCUAUAAUCCCAGCUACUUGGGAGGCUGAGGCAGGAGAAUUGUGUGAACCUGGAAGGCGGAGGUUACAGUGAGCCGAGAUCAAUCACCACUGCACUCCAGCCUGAGCAACAGGGCAAGACUCCAUCUCAAAAAAAUUUUUUUUGGAUUUAUAUUUACUGAGAGGGUCUGUUACUAAGGUAUUUAGAUUUGGUUGGAUUUAACUGCUAAAAUGUUGUAGAGUCUGAAUCUAUGGCAUGGUAAAGAAUAAUCACAGCCAUUCAGCAAGUUGUGAAGCUUCUGGUUGGGAUGAAAGAAACUUCAAGCUGAGAGGAAGAAUGUUCUGAAAUAUUUGGGAGGUUUGGCAGACUCCUUUCUCAGGGGUAUGUUCAUUUGGGCCAGUGAUUCUGAAGCCCACUUUGCAGAUAUCUUAGGUGUGUCAUGAAGUUUUACAAGAACAUUGUGAGUAGUUGCAAUAACAAAAGGAAACAAAUGUUUCAUAUUACUUUCCAUUAUCCGUGUCUCAGGUAUUCUUCCAGAGAUACUUUAGCCAUGUGUAAGUGAAUACACUUCCAUACAAUAUCAUGCGUAAAACACAUGACAUUCUGAACCCUGCCGUUUUUAUUAAAGAAAAUUUCAAAUGUAUUUAGAAUUAAAGUAUAAUAAACUCCACAUAGUCACCCAGUUUCAACAAUUGCAGAUUCAUGGCCAAUCCUCUCUUCUUUACCUUACCAACUAUCCAUCACCCCCUAUUCUGACCUACUUGACUGGGCUGAGGGUGAGGCAAGCAA